UUAGUGUAAUUGGUGGGAGCAAUUUGAAAUCAAUUACAUAUAACAUAAUGAACCAGCUAGUAUGUCAUGAACUAGCACUAAAAAUGAAUUGGAGUGAUAAAUUCAAAAAUAAACACGUCUUUGGAAAGUUAAAAAAAAUUCCUGGCAUAGUAUAUAUUGCAGUUCAAAAGCAUGAAAAAGGAGGAAGUAAUGCAGAUGUUGAGAAGUGCAUAAAAAGGUGGCUGAUGCAAGCUCCGGACAGAAAUGGUGGCCGCGCACAACGUGCUUUAAAAACUUUAACUCAAAACUGUUGAAUUUUCUUUGAUAUAUUAUAUUUUACUUUCAU